rnacentral:rRNA from 1 species
UGAGGAAUAUUGGACAAUGGGGGAAACCCUGAUCCAGCAAUGUCGCGUGAAUGAAGAAGGCCUUAGGGUUGUAAAAUUCUUUCACUCAUGAAGAUAAUGACGGUAAUGAGAGAAGAAGCUCCGGCUAACUCUGUGCCAGCAGCCGCGGUAAUACAGAGGGAGCAAGCGUUGUUCGGAAUGACUGGGCGUAAAGGGUGCGUAGGCGGUCUUUUAAGCAAGGUGUUAAAGCCCCGGGCUCAACCCGGGAAUCGCGCUUUGAACUGGAGGACUAGAGUACGAGAGAGGAAAGUGGAAUUCCUAGUGUAGAGGUGAAAUUCGUAGAUAUUAGGAGGAAUACCAAAAGCGAAGGCAGCUUUCUGGAUCGUCACUGACGCUGAGGCACGAAAGCGUGGGGAGCAAA